UCCCGUCUCUCUGGGCAUCUCCGCCACUCGCCAGGGCUGGAGCUGCAACCCUGCUGACAAAUCCACUGGGCAAAGAAGGCUGCGAGCCAACCUUCAGGUGAACCUGAAGCCCAGGCCCCCGACCGCUGCAGGCACGAGGGACCCUGUGCGGACCCGCCCACUUAGAGCGUCACAGGACCGCAGGGCGCAUGGCCUUGGCGAGCAGGGACACCAUGGAGGGAGGGCGCGCAGUGCGGUGUCCUAGAGGAUGAAGCCACGCCACUGCGCCAGGACAGAUGGUGCUCCCGGACUAUGGGAGGCGACGUCGCACCGGAGCUCGCCUGGUUCUCACCUUGAUGUAGCCAGCCAGAAGAACAACGGACGCCCAGAGCCUGAGUAGCAGCAAGACAGGAAGCUUGCCGGUGGCCGCCAUCCCUGGCCUGGUCGCCGUGGCCUGGGCUCUCCUACACUCAUGCACAGCCGGACCAGAGCGUCUCCAUACCAGCAUCAAAAACCUUCUGAAGCCGGCUCACCGCCGCUCUGGUGGGUUUUAACCGACUUCAACAGACUUCACAAAACCACGCCCUUCUUCAACAGGAUCCAAUACAAGCAGGCAUAACUAGCCUAACUUGCCGCCCCUUGUUUAACCAAGGCCCAAUCAGAGCAUGGAUGCACCGUCUCCCCUCCCGGCCCAGCGCGUGCCCCCGCAUGGCCCCGCCCCAAGACACGACAGCCCCGCCCCCGCUCUGGACUCAAGGCUGGGGAAUCAGGAGUAUUGGGGGCAGACCAUGGGCCGCUGUUCCUAAGGCCUGAGGCUCCUGCGUGGUUAUCUAUUGGGGUGGCUCUCCAUCAUCCACCUUCAGCCUAGGGAUUCAGGCACGCCCCACUCCCCCGUCCCUGCGGGAUAUUUUCCGAUUCCUUUGGGUACAGCUCUCUUUGGAGCUUCUGGAAAAUGUUUUAAUUAAAAAACAGGAUGAAUUGUUGGGAGGUCCGGACAGUUAGGAGGGGCUUAGUGAAUCAGUUUCAAGGAUAUCCUGAAAUUGUUUUAAAUUGCUGAAGGAGCUUUCCCAAAGGAUACAAUGUUUCAAUCUACCCUCCUGUUACCCUACAGGGGGGAAGGCUCCAUCUACACUGCUACAGCUUUUUCAGGGAAGCAUUAAUGUUUUGGGGGGUCAAAGGUCUCCAAUUGUAGCCUGCUGGGGAAAGAGCUCACACACCACCAGUUAGUAACCCCUUUUCUACCCUCUGUAAGGAAGUGCAAUAAACUCCCUGAGGCCCCACAGUGAACUCUAGCCUCAUACCUCAGUUUGUCACUGUGACUUUGGGAAUGGAGAAUAGACCUUGUUUACCACGACCCAAGGGAAGGAAUUUUAGCUAUAUGUGUUUAGCUCAGUACACAGUCCUUAAGUAAGUGCCUGGUUCAGAAUGGUAGAAUCAUUGUUUAGAAGAUUAGAAAAAAGGGACCAGAGAUGGCAAUAGGACAAUAGUAGCUCACUAUUGAGCAGCGAUUUUUAAAUUUACAAAUUUCUUUUGUAUACAUUCUCUGGUUUCAUAUUCAUAUGGACCCUGUACAGCUCAGUUACUUCAUUCCUAGGAAAAUAACCUAGGCUGAAAAUAAAUAUUUUAAAUG